CUUCUACUCCCUCCGUUCCGAAUUACUUGUCGCAGGUAUGGAUGUAUCUAGAUGUAUUUUAGUUCUAGAUACAUCCAUUUCUGUGACGAGUAAUUUGGAACGGAGGGAGUAGUAA
rnacentral:pre_miRNA from 1 species